rnacentral:rRNA from 1 species
UGGGGAAUCUUGCACAAUGGGGGCAACCCUGAUGCAGCGACGCCGCGUGAGCGAUGAAGCCCUUCGGGGCGUAAAGCUCUUUCGACCGGAACGAUAAUGACGGUUCCGGGAGAAGAAGCUGCGGCUAACUACGUGCCAGCAGCCGCGGUAAUACGUAGGCAGCAAGCGUUGUUCGGAGUUACUGGGCGUAAAGAGUGCGUAGGCGGUUUUCUAAGUUCGGUGUGAAAUCUCCCGGCUUAACUGGGAGGGUGCGCCGAAGACUGGGAAGCUGGAGUGUGGGAAAGGCAGGCGGAAUUCCUGGUGUAGCGGUGAAAUGCGUAGAUAUCAGGAGGAACACCGGCGGUGUAGACGGCUUGCUAGACCAUAACUGACGCUGAGGCACGAAAGCGUGGGUAGCAAACA